CAGAAGAUAGUUUAUUUAAAAUUCCGGUUUUGGGGGCUGGAGAUGGGGGUUAAAUCCUCUCUUUUGA
rnacentral:tRNA from 1 species